rnacentral:rRNA from 1 species
ACUGAAGGCUGAAAUUCGCCUUCACGAAGUCGGAAUUGCUAGUAAUGGCAGGUCAGCAUACUGCCGUGAAUACGUUCCCGGGCCUUGUACACACCGCCCGUCACACCAUGAGAGUUAGGAAUACCCGAAGCCUGUGAGCUAACUUUUAGAGGCAGCAGUCGAAGGUAGAACUAAUGAUUGGGGUGAAGUCGUAACAAGGUACC